AAACGACUCUCGGCAACGGAUAUCUUGGCUCUCGCAUCGAUGAAGAACGUAGCGAAAUGCGAUACUUGGUGUGAAUUGCAGAAUCCCGUGAACCAUCGAGUCUUUGAACGCAAGUUGCGCCCGAAGCCCUAGGUUGAGGGCACGUCUGCCUGGGUGUUGCGC
rnacentral:rRNA from 1 species